rnacentral:rRNA from 1 species
GUCGAGCGGACAGAUGGGAGCUUGCUCCCUGAUGUUAGCGGCGGACGGGUGAGUAACACGUGGGUAACCUGCCUGUAAGACUGGGAUAACUCCGGGAAACCGGGGCUAAUACCGGAUGGUUGUCUGAACCGCAUGGUUCAGACAUAAAAGGUGGCUUCGGCUACCACUUACAGAUGGACCCGCGGCGCAUUAGCUAGUUGGUGAGGUAACGGCUCACCAAGGCGACGAUGCGUAGCCGACCUGAGAGGGUGAUCGGCCACACUGGGACUGAGACACGGCCCAGACUCCUACGGGAGGCAGCAGUAGGGAAUCUUCCGCAAUGGACGAAAGUCUGACGGAGCAACGCCGCGUGAGUGAUGAAGGUUUUCGGAUCGUAAAGCUCUGUUGUUAGGGAAGAACAAGUGCCGUUCAAAUAGGGCGGCACCUUGACGGUACCUAACCAGAAAGCCACGGCUAACUACGUGCCAGCAGCCGCGGUAAUACGUAGGUGGCAAGCGUUGUCCGGAAUUAUUGGGCGUAAAGGGCUCGCAGGCGGUUUCUUAAGUCUGAUGUGAAAGCCCCCGGCUCAACCGGGGAGGGUCAUUGGAAACUGGGGAACUUGAGUGCAGAAGAGGAGAGUGGAAUUCCACGUGUAGCGGUGAAAUGCGUA